GACGAACGCUGGCGGCGUGCUUAACACAUGCAAGUCGAACGGAAAGGCCCUGCUUGCAGGGUACUCGAGUGGCGAACGGGUGAGUAACACGUGGGUGAUCUGCCCUGCACUUCGGGAUAAGCCUGGGAAACUGGGUCUAAUACCGGAUAGGAGCCAUUUUUAGUGUGAUGGUUGGAAAGUUUUUUCGGUGUAGGAUGAGCUCGCGGCCUAUCAGCUUGUGGUGGGGUAAUGGCCUACCAAGGCGGCGACGGGUAGCCGGCCUGAGAGGGUGGACGGCCACAUUGGGACUGAGAUACGGCCCAGACUCCUACGGGAGGCAGCAGUGGGGAAUAUUGCACAAUGGGCGCAAGCCUGAUGCAGCGACGCCGCGUGGGGGAUGACGGCCUUCGGGUUGUAAACUCCUUUCGCUAGGGACGAAGCUUUUUGUGACGGUACCUAGAUAAGAAGCACCGGCUAACUACGUG
rnacentral:rRNA from 1 species